GCGGUACGCGCCGGCGCACCUGGCGCGCCUGCUGCAGAUCUCCGCUGCCGAGGCUGACGAGUGUAGCGACCGGCUGGCCGACCAGCUGGCGGACCGCUCGCUCGACGUGGACGGCUUCGUGCGCCAGUUCAUGCAGCAGAGGACGCUCUGCCACGCUCGGCGAGCCAAGCAGGAGCGCCUACACGCCCAGCUGAGGGAGCUCGACAUGUCGUGGGCCUCCUGAGCCAAGCAGGAGUGCCUGCACGCCCAUCUGAGGGAGCUCGACAUGUGGGCCUCCUGAGCCAAGGAGCAGCGCCUGCACGCCCAGCUGAGGGAGCUCGACAUGUCGUGGGCCUCCUGAGCCAGGCAGGAGUGCCUGCACGCUCAGCUGAGGGAGCUCGACAUGUCGUGCGCCUCCUGAGCCAAGGAGCAGCGCCUGCACGCCCAGCUGAGGGAGCUCGACAUGUCGUAGGCCUCCUGAGCCAGGCAGGAGUGCCUGCACGCCCAGCUGAGGGAGCUCGACAUGUCGUGGGCCUCCUGAGCCAAGGAGCAGCGCCUGCACGCCCAUCUGAGGGAGCUCGACAUGUCGUGAGCCUCCUGAGCCAAGGAGCAGCACCUGCACGCCCAGCUGAGGGAGCUCGACAUGUCGUGGGCCUCCUGAGCCUGGCAGGAGCACCUGCACGCCCAGCUGAGGGAGCCCGACAUGUGGGUCUCCUGAGCGCCCCGCUGCGCCGGCCCGCCUCAGCGGCGCUGUCGAGCGGGCUGCCGACCGUGUCAGGGAGACGUUCUGAAUCUCUGCCCCAGCACCGCCCUGCGUGACGUGACGUGACGUGACGUGGCGUGACGUGACGUGGUCGAGACUCGCUCCCAUUUGGUGCCGUGCGUGUGUGCGAGUGUGUGGGUCGACUCUCCCGCUGCGCUAUCCGUGCAGGCCCGAGUGUCCAGUGGCGGUGGCUGGCUCAGUGGACGGCAUUUGGGCUGUUCGCACGUCCUGACUCAGCGGUAGCCCGAUCUGAUUGGACGAGACGUGGUUUUGCGCGGGGCGUGACCGUAUGUUUGAUCAGUGGCCACUGUGAACGGAAACCGGAGGGAUGUGGUGUCGGCGCUGUGCCGCGCCUUGUGUCGAGACGUAUCUGAUGAAGUCAUAUCCGGGACCGGCGUGGGGCGCUGCCCCUGAUGAGGCUCCACUGUUCCGUGUUUUCUUCAGCGCUUAUGUUAGGAAUGUGGUUUUCAUCCAUGUACCAAUAUUGUAUGACCUCGAUUACAUAAUUUAUAUGCAUUGCUGGUAUGUGCGACAGCUCAGGCCUGCUAGGGGAUUGGAUGCACGAGUCGGUGUUCACAUAUUAUGAACGGAUAAAAUAAAAGGCUCUAACAUGUU